CCUACGGGAGGCAUCAGUGAGGCAUAUUGGUCAAUGGGCGUAAGCCUGAACCAGCCAAGUCGCGUGAGGGAUGAAGGUUCUAUGGAUCGUAAACCUCUUUUAUAAGGGAAUAAAGUGUGGGACGUGUCCUGUUUUGUAUGUACCUUAUGAAUAAGGAUCGGCUAACUCCGUGCCAGCAGCCGCGGUAAUACGGAGGAUCCGAGCGUUAUCCGGAUUUAUUGGGUUUAAAGGGUGCGUAGGCGGCCUUUUAAGUCAGCGGUGAAAGUCUGUGGCUCAACCAUAGAAUUGCCGUUGAAACUGGGAGGCUUGAGUAUGUUUGAGGCAGGCGGAAUGCGUGGUGUAGCGGUGAAAUGCUUAGAUAUCACGCAGAACCCCGAUUGCGAAGGCAGCCUGCCAAGCCAUGACUGACGCUGAUGCACGAAAGCGUGGGGAUCAAACAGGAUUAGAUACCCCGGUAGUC
rnacentral:rRNA from 1 species